rnacentral:rRNA from 1 species
GGGUUGUGAGGUUAAGCGACUAAGCGUACACGGUGGAUGCCCUGGCAGUCAGAGGCGAUGAAGGACGUGCUAAUCUGCGAUAAGCGUCGGUAAGGUGAUAUGAACCGUUAUAACCGGCGAUUUCCGAAUGGGGAAACCCAGUGUGAUUCGUCACACUAUCAUUAACUGAAUCCAUAGGUUAAUGAGGCGAACCGGGGGAACUGAAACAUCUAAGUACCCCGAGGAAAAGAAAUCAACCGAGAUUCCCCCAGUAGCGGCGAGCGAACGGGGAGCAGCCCAGAGCCUGAAUCAGUGUGUGUGUUAGUGGAAGCGUCUGGAAAGGCGCGCGAUACAGGGUGACAGCCCCGUACACAAAAAUGCACAUACUGUGAGCUCGAUGAGUAGGGCGGGACACGUGGUAUCCUGUCUGAAUAUGGGGGGACCAUCCUCCAAGGCUAAAUACUCCUGACUGACCGAUAGUGAACCAGUACCGUGAGGGAAAGGCGAAAAGAACCCCGGCGAGGGGAGUGAAAAAGAACCUGAAACCGUGUACGUACAAGCAGUGGGAGCACGCUUAGGCGUGUGACUGCGUACCUUUUGUAUAAUGGGUCAGCGACUUAUAUUCUGUAGCAAGGUUAACCGAAUAGGGGAGCCGAAGGGAAACCGAGUCUUAACUGGGCGUUAAGUUGCAGGGUAUAGACCCGAAACCCGGUGAUCUAGCCAUGGGCAGGUUGAAGGUUGGGUAACACUAACUGGAGGACCGAACCGACUAAUGUUGAAAAAUUAGCGGAUGACUUGUGGCUGGGGGUGAAAGGCCAAUCAAACCGGGAGAUAGCUGGUUCUCCCCGAAAGCUAUUUAGGUAGCGCCUCGUGAAUUCAUCUCCGGGGGUAGAGCACUGUUUCGGCAAGGGGGUCAUCCCGACUUACCAACCCGAUGCAAACUGCGAAUACCGGAGAAUGUUAUCACGGGAGACACACGGCGGGUGCUAACGUCCGUCGUGAAGAGGGAAACAACCCAGACCGCCAGCUAAGGUCCCAAAGUCAUGGUUAAGUGGGAAACGAUGUGGGAAGGCCCAGACAGCCAGGAUGUUGGCUUAGAAGCAGCCAUCAUUUAAAGAAAGCGUAAUAGCUCACUGGUCGAGUCGGCCUGCGCGGAAGAUGUAACGGGGCUAAACCAUGCACCGAAGCUGCGGCAGCGACGCUUAUGCGUUGUUGGGUAGGGGAGCGUUCUGUAAGCCUGCGAAGGUGUGCUGUGAGGCAUGCUGGAGGUAUCAGAAGUGCGAAUGCUGACAUAAGUAACGAUAAAGCGGGUGAAAAGCCCGCUCGCCGGAAGACCAAGGGUUCCUGUCCAACGUUAAUCGGGGCAGGGUGAGUCGACCCCUAAGGCGAGGCCGAAAGGCGUAGUCGAUGGGAAACAGGUUAAUAUUCCUGUACUUGGUGUUACUGCGAAGGGGGGACGGAGAAGGCUAUGUUGGCCGGGCGACGGUUGUCCCGGUUUAAGCGUGUAGGCUGGUUUUCCAGGCAAAUCCGGAAAAUCAAGGCUGAGGCGUGAUGACGAGGCACUACGGUGCUGAAGCAACAAAUGCCCUGCUUCCAGGAAAAGCCUCUAAGCAUCAGGUAACAUCAAAUCGUACCCCAAACCGACACAGGUGGUCAGGUAGAGAAUACCAAGGCGCUUGAGAGAACUCGGGUGAAGGAACUAGGCAAAAUGGUGCCGUAACUUCGGGAGAAGG